AGUGAACGCUGGCGGUAGGCCUAACACAUGCAAGUCGAACGGCAGCACAGUAAGAGCUUGCUCUUACGGGUGGCGAGUGGCGGACGGGUGAGGAAUACAUCGGAAUCUACUUUUUCGUGGGGGAUAACGUAGGGAAACUUACGCUAAUACCGCAUACGACCUACGGGUGAAAGCAGGGGAUCUUCGGACCUUGCGCGAGUGAAUGAGCCGAUGUCGGAUUAGCUAGUUGGCGGGGUAAAGGCCCACCAAGGCGACGAUCCGUAGCUGGUCUGAAAGGAUGAGCGGCCACACAGGGAAAGAGACCAGGCCCGAGCGACUACAGGAGGAAGGAGUGAUGAAUAAUGGAGAAGGGGCGAAAGCCGGAUAAACUAAUGCCGCGUGAGUGAUUAAGGCCUGAGGGGUGAAAAGCCCUUUUACCCGGGAGGAUAAUGACAGUACCGGGAGAAUAAGCUCCGGCUAACUCCGUG
rnacentral:rRNA from 1 species